rnacentral:rRNA from 1 species
GACGAACGCUGGCGGCGUGCUUAACACAUGCAAGUCGAACGGAAAGGCCCUGCUUUUGUGGGGUGCUCGAGUGGCGAACGGGUGAGUAACACGUGAGUAACCUGCCCUUGACUUUGGGAUAACUUCAGGAAACUGGGGCUAAUACCGGAUAGGAGCUCCUGCUGCAUGGUGGGGGUUGGAAAGUUUCGGCGGUUGGGGAUGGACUCGCGGCUUAUCAGCUUGUUGGUGGGGUAGUGGCUUACCAAGGCUUUGACGGGUAGCCGGCCUGAGAGGGUGACCGGCCACAUUGGGACUGAGAUACGGCCCAGACCCCUACGGGAGGCAGCAGUGGGGAAUAUUGCACAAUGGGCGGAAGCCUGAUGCAGCAACGCCGCGUGCGGGAUGACGGCCUUCGGGUUGUAAACCGCUUUCGCCUGUGACGAAGCGUGAGUGACGGUAAUGGGUAAAGAAGCACCGGCUAACUACGUGCCAGCAGCCGCGGUGAUACGUAGGGUGCGAGCGUUGUCCGGAUUUAUUGGGCGUAAAGGGCUCGUAGGUGGUUGAUCGCGUCGGAAGUGUAAUCUUGGGGCUUAACCCUGAGCGUGCUUUCGAUACGGGUUGACUUGAGGAAGGUAGGGGAGAAUGGAAUUCCUGGUGGAGCGGUGGAAUGCGCAGAUAUCAGGAGGAACACCAGUGGCGAAGGCGGUUCUCUGGGCCUUUCCUGACGCUGAGGAGCGAAAGCGUGGGGAGCGAACAGGCUUAGAUACCCUGGUAGUCCACGCUGUAAACGGUGGGUACUAGGUGUGGGGUCCAUUCCACGGGUUCCGUGCCGUAGCUAACGCUUUAAGUACCCCGCCUGGGGAGUACGGCCGCAAGGCUAAAACUCAAAGGAAUUGACGGGGCCCCGCACAAGCGGCGGAGCAUGCGGAUUAAUUCGAUGCAACGCGUAGAACCUUACCUGGGUUUGACAUGGAUCGGGAGUGCUCAGAGAUGGGUGUGCCUCUUUUGGGGUCGGUUCACAGGUGGUGCAUGGCUGUCGUCAGCUCGUGUCGUGAGAUGUUGGGUUAAGUCCCGCAACGAGCGCAACCCUUGUUCACUGUUGCCAGCACGUUAUGGUGGGGACUCAGUGGAGACCGCCGGGGUCAACUCGGAGGAAGGUGGGGAUGACGUCAAGUCAUCAUGCCCCUUAUGUCCAGGGCUUCACGCAUGCUACAAUGGCUGGUACAGAGAGUGGCGAGCCUGUGAGGGUGAGCGAAUCUCGGAAAGCCGGUCUCAGUUCGGAUUGGGGUCUGCAACUCGACCUCAUGAAGUCGGAGUCGCUAGUAAUCGAAGAUCAGCAACGCUGCGGUGAAUACGUUCCCGGGGCC